UAGUUCCUACGGGAGGCAGCAGUGGGGAAUAUUGCACAAUGGGGGAAACCCUGAUGCAGCGACGCCGCGUGAGCGAGGAAGUAUUUCGGUAUGUAAAGCUCUGUCAGCAGGGAAGAAGAAUGACGGUACCUGAAGAGGAAGCACCGGCUAAAUACGUGCCAGCAGCCGCGGUAAUACGUAUGGUGCAAGCGUUAUCCGGAUUUACUGGGUGUAAAGGGAGCGCAGGCGGUUCUGCAAGUCUGAUGUGAAAGCCCGGGGCUCAACCGCGGGACUGCAUUGGAAACUGCGG
rnacentral:rRNA from 1 species